AUGUCUUGGACGGCCUUGUCUUCCAUUUUGAGAGCUAAGGGUUUCCCUUCGACCUGGUGUGAUUGGAUCAAUAAUAUCAAUGUGACCAGCCAGUCCGCUGUGCUUCUUAAUGGUAAACCGGGGCCAUGGAUCAACUGCAAACAGGGGCUUUGCCAAGGGGAUUCGAUAUCCCCAUACCUUUUCAUUAUUGCUGCCGACGUCCUUCAACGUCUAAUCAUACAAGCUUCCUCCAAUGGCCUACUCUCUCACCCGAUCGACCCCUCCAUUGCUUGCCCUGUGCUCCAAUAUGCGGACGACACCCUCAUCAUCCUUCAAGCAGAUCAUGACCAACUACAAACACUCAAAUCUAUCCUUCUUGAAUUCUCGGCGGCCACUGGUUUACACAUUAAUUUUCACAAAAGCACUUUCGCUCCUAUUCAUGUCCAACCUGGACUCGCUGUCCAGCUUGCCGAUAUUUUGGGAUGCAAAGUGGCAUCCUUCCCUCAAUCUUACCUCGGUCUACCUUUGUCCGCCCACAAACUCAAUCUGAAAGACUUCUUCUUCAUCAUAGAUAAGACCGACCGUCGUCUAGCUGGGUGGCGAGGGGUACUUCUAUCUCUUGCCGGUCGUGCCAUUCUGGUUCGUGCGGUCCUUAGGGCCUUACCAAUCUACGCCAUGACUGCUCUACUGCUCCCGGUGGGCAUUGUCCAGGACGUCGAUAAAUGUUGCAGGUCCUUUUUUUGGGCGGGUCAGGAAAAAGUGUCUCGUGGGCAGUGUAAAGUAGCUUGGGACUUUGUUUGUGCGCCGUUCUCGCAUGGGGGUCUAGGUUUCUCCCCUCUUCAACACUUAAACUCUUGCUUUCUUCUUUCCCAUCUAAACAAAAUUCACUCGUACAUUGCUUCUAGGGGUAACUCUCAUCUUGCUCUGAAAUAUGGAUGGUCUGAUACUCGUGACCUUGAUUCUCCGCAUCCCUUUGAGUCCAACGUUUGGCAUGAUAUCGCCAAGGGGCUAGAAUUCUUCCGUUCCAUAACUAAGGUGGAUAUUGGUAAUGGUACGACAACCGCUUUUUGGCUAGAUCUAUGGCCGCUUUUUGGCUAG
rnacentral:rRNA from 1 species